CGAUUCCUCCUCGAUCACAACCACAACGUGGGCAGGAGCGGACGGGGCGGAGCCGCGGGGGCCGGGAGACGGGUGCUAGUAUAUAAACUUGUAAUUGGCUCUGGCUCCCGGCUCCGGGCACUGGGCGAUGUUUCCAACCAGAUGGAUUGUGAGGCCCGGCAGCUCCCUAGUCCCUUUUCUUCCCCCUCCUCCCAGCGUCCCCUCGCUGCCCAAGCCCCACCCUUCGGCCUUCGCAAGUCUACCAAAAUUUCUCUUUCCAGUCCUCCCCUGCAUGACGGAUGGCACCCAGAAGGCACUAUUAUUUGAAAAUGCAAACGGGGCUGCUAGUCACACCUUUGCAGCUGCUUUUCCCAAGCCCUCAGAGAGACCCCUGCUGCUGGGAGAGGCACAGAAGUGAAAGGGAUGGGGAGGAAGGAAAAGCAGUGAAAUAAUCAGGCUGGUUGGAUUCCAAAGCUACAAUCCUGGUUUUAAAGUCUGAUCAGGCAUCCUGAGAUUUGUGUGCCUAGCAUGUCUUCAGCAGGCAGCACUGGGAUUGCAGCUCAUUGAAAUCAAUCCACAACCUCUCUGAGAAAAGUGGCCAAAAGAUGUUACCAUGUCUUCCUUCAUCCCACAAAUAUUUUUUGAGCACCUACUCUGUGCCAGACCCUUGGCACCAGGGUACCAGGGGUUUAGCAAUGAACAGGACAGGAAAAAUCUCUGCUGACAUUCUGGUGGGGCAAGAAACAAUCAACAGGAAAAUUUAGAAGUGCUCACUGUUCCCGAGGGUGGAGAACAUACUGUAUCCUCGUUUCCAUGCCCGCUGCACUCCCGUGCAUUCUGCACAUAGCUGGCAUGCAGAGAAAGUUUGUGGGAUUGAAAUACAUGGAACUGAAUUUUUGUGGAGCCCCUGAGAGAGACAUGAACAACCUAGAGAGUCCUGAGGAAUCCCAACAAGGGAGGGGAG
rnacentral:lncRNA from 1 species